rnacentral:lncRNA from 1 species
UGUAAUGACAUAAUUUCUAGAUCGGUCAACCUGAAUCAUAAUUAAUCAACCUGAAUCAUGAUUAAGAUGUUUUCAUUGCAAAAAAACUAAAAACUAAAAAUUAAAUAAAAAAUUAAAUUAAGAUGUUUGUAGGAACUUGUUAUACACUAAUUUUAAUCAUGUUUUCACGCCUCCUAGACUUGCACCAAACCCAUAAUUCAUCUCUAAGGUGAGCCUAGGUUAAUUAAGUCUAUGUAAUUGACAAGGCCAAGCAAACUUAAGCAUGAAACCGUACCUUUUUUUCACCAAGGGGGGAAUUCUUCCAGAUUAUUGCCUUCUUGUUGAAGUCUUUGGCUUCAUUUGGCAAUUGGCGUCACUUAAUAGAUAAGCUGUUUCUUCUUCAGAGACAAUCCACUAAACAAUCUCCAUCUGAUUAAUGAUAAAGUUGGCUUGUAAAUGCUUCUGCUCAUUGUUUUAAUUAUUAUAACUGCCAAAUUACACUUAUACAUGAAAUUGUAGUUUAUACUUUAUAGCAUAGAUCAGAAACUCUUUUCAAAAAGAAAAAAAAAACUUAAACAUUAAGCAAUGCCAACCCUUUUGUACCAUAAGCAAGACCAAUGAAUAACAAAUAUAUAAUUAAAAUAAGAAGAGAUGAAGAGUAUAGAUUUUUAAGUAGAUUCCAUUAGAAUCAUCCAUGAUUAAAAUUCACUUCUAUUCUUGCAGAUUCCUCCAAAUUCUACCGAACCUUUGGGAGUCCUGGUUUUAAAAUCGCGUGGAUUUUUCCCGCACGCAUAUUGGUAUUGGAUUGGAGUUGGGGCACUAUUUGGAUAUAUGUUCCUAUUCAAUGGCCUUUACACUCUUGCACUUGGUUUUCUUGAACGUAUGUAUCCUUCUGUCAUUUUCUGUCAUACUUUUGCAGCUGAAAUCUACUGUUAUAAUACCGAGUCAUCAAAUUACUGCAGCAUUGGGGAAGCCUAAGGCAGUUAUAUCAGAAGAAACCAUUAAUGAGAGCUCAAAUGAUAUCUCAUCAGUUGGAGCUGCGGAAUCAUCCACGAACUCUUCAUCUAUGAGGACAGAACCUAAUCAGAUAAAGAAGGAAGGGAUGAUUCUUCCAUUCCAACCUCUUUCUAUCACCUUUGACGACAUCACCUAUUCAGUUGACAUGCCACAGGUUGUGGGACAUUUGCUUGAACGCCAGAGGUUUUCUCCCUUUUGAGUUUAAUUGCAGAAAUGCCAGAAAAUUCAUGCUUUUUCCUAUAUUCAAUUUGUAGGAAAUGAGAACUCAAGGUGUUACAGAAAAUCGUUUGGAGUUGCUGAAGCAUGUGAGCGGAGCAUUUCGUCCAGGUGUCCUUACAGCUCUAAUGGGUGUCAGUGGUGCUGGUAAGACCACUCUGAUGGAUGUACUGGCUGGAAGGAAAACUGGAGGUUAUAUAGAUGGAAGAAUCACCAUAUCUGGCUACCCCAAGAAGCAGGAAACAUUUGCUCGCAUAUCAGGAUACUGUGAGCAGAAUGACAUCCAUUCUCCUCAAGUUACUGUCUACGAGUCCUUAGUAUUCUCUUCAUGGCUUCGGUUAUCUCCUGAAGUUGAUUCAGAAGCAAGAAAGGUUAGUUAGCUUCCGGGUUUAAUCUGUUUAUUGUGCUUGUCACUGGGUCCGUUAAGGAAUCCAUUGAUUUGGGAAAGUGAUUGAUGAGUGCAGAAGUUUGUUGAGGAGGUCAUGGAACUUGUAGAGCUAUCUCCAUUGAGGGGAGCAAUCGUCGGGUUGCCUGGUAGAAGUGGUCUGUCAACUGAGCAACGCAAGAGAUUGACUAUUGCAGUCGAGCUUGUUGCGAACCCAUCUAUUAUUUUCAUGGAUGAACCGACAUCUGGCCUUGAUGCAAGGGCAGCAGCAAUUGUGAUGAGAACAGUGAGGAACACUGUGAACACAGGGAGAACUGUGGUGUGCACCAUUCACCAGCCAAGUAUUGACAUAUUUGAAGCCUUCGACGAGGUUAGAUAUUUUGAAAUAAGCAAGUAGGCCUUCAUCUCAAUAGACCUCUAUUACGUAUAUGAACCUUCACUUCUCAAUUUGGAUAUACAGUUAUUCUUAAUGAAGCGAGGAGGACGGGAGAUCUAUGUAGGCGCAUUGGGUAGUCACUCGUGUGAUCUCAUUAGCUACUUUGAGGUGAGUCAUGGUAAUUUGUCAGGAUCAAACUUGUAGAUUUCUCUUUUUGAGUCUUUUAGCAUCCGUUAAAUACGCAUGAUAAUAAUGAUGCAAUUACUUGUGCAUCAUCAAGGGAGUGGAAGGAGUUGAUAAAAUCAAAGAUGGCUAUAAUCCAGCAACAUGGAUGCUGGAGAUGACUAGUCGAGCACGAGAAGAAACCCUGAACGUCGAUUUUGCUGAACUAUAUAAGAAAUCUGAAUUAUACAGGUAAGGUUACUCAAGUCGUCAAGUAGGCAGAGACGGAACUUAAUUUUCUUUAUCUUAUUACUCGGUCACAUUUCAGGCGAAACAAAGCACUAAUCAAGGAAUUGGGUACUCCUCCACCUGGUUCAUCAGAUCUUCAUUUCUCCAGACAGUACUCACAGUCUUUUUUCACUCAAUUCAGAGCUUGCCUAUGGAAACAGUAUUGGUCAUACUGGCGCAACCCACCAUAUAAUGCAGUGAGGUAUCUAUUCACAACUGUGGUGGCAUUGCUGUUUGGUACAAUAUUUUGGGAUCUUGGCAACAAAAGGUAACUAAUAUUUAAGAAAUCCCCGAGGCACUUUGUUCAUCUUCUUCCUAGACUCUUCUGAUUCUGAGAUUUGACUUUAUUGGUUGAAAUUGCAGAAGCAGGCAACAGGAUUUGUUCAAUUCAAUGGGUUCCAUGUAUGUCGCAGUUCUAUUCCUUGGUGUAAAUAACGCUUCAUCUGUCCAGCCAGUUGUUGCUAUUGAAAGAACAGUUUUUUACAGAGAGAGGGCUGCUGGAAUGUAUUCAGCCUUGCCCUAUGCCUUUGGACAGGUACAUCUUUUUCCAUCAACCUUUUAAAAGUAGUUUUAGUUACAUAAGUUAGCUGUUUCUCAACAAGUCUCCUUAUCGUUGCAGGUUAUGAUUGAGAUUCCAUAUGUGCUUGUUCAGGCUAUACUAUAUGGGGUUAUAGUGUAUUCUAUGAUUGGAUUUGAAUGGACAGUUGCCAAAUUUUUUUGGUAUCUUUUUUUGAUGUACUUCACUUUAUUAUAUUUUACAUUCUAUGGGAUGAUGGCUGUGGGUGUGACCCCAAACCAACAGAUUGCUGCCAUUGUUUCUUCUGCAUUCUAUGGCUUAUGGAAUCUCUUUUCCGGUUUCAUGAUCCCCCAAACGGUAAAUUUCCUAUCUUUUAGUUACAUGGACAUAUUAUAAUUUUUUUAAGGAUGUUGAUUAUAUAUAUAUAUAUAGGUAUAUAUUGAGUUUUCUAUAUUAAUACAGAGGAUACCAAUAUGGUGGAGAUGGUACUACUGGUGUUCACCUGUCGCUUGGACCUUGUAUGGUUUGGUUGCUUCACAGUACGCAGAUGUAACUGAAAGGUUUGACACGGGUGAGCAAGUGAAAGAUUUUGUAAGGAGUUAUUUUGGCUUCAAGCAUGAUUUUCUACCCGUAGUUGCAGUGGUAAUCGUUGCCUUCGCUGUGGUCUUUGGUUUACUCUUUGCAUUGGCAAUACGGCAAUUUAAUUUCCAAAGAAGAUGAGAACAUCGUACGGUAGAUUAGUUUGCAAGAAACUUCUGUGGUACUCAACUUGUUGUACAUACAUUUUUCAUAUGUAAUGUAUAUGCCUUACAUUAUUCAUUUCAAACGCAAAUUCGAUAUAUCUAGAAGUAUUUUCACAUGUUCUUUGAUAUUUCUAAAUUUUGAAAACUACCUAAACGAAAGCGCGCUAAUGUUGUCAUUUAUAUCAAUUCACUCCAUUACAACAAUCAAAAAAAUGUUUUCUCAUAAACCAAAAAAAAAUUCAAGAACUCUACAAACUAGGCAAAUAAUAAUAAUCAAACCGCUUAAAUAUCAUAUACUCAAAAAAAAUUUAACAAAUCACACAACAAGCUCAUUAUAAAAUUUUGAUGCAAACCUCUUUCAGAAUAAGAUUGCUUGAUUCAAACAAACAAGCAAACCAGUGAUUCCUCUUUCUUCGCCCCUCUCUGCAAUUUCUC